GUCUACAGUCAUACCACCCUGAACGUGCCUGAUCUCAUCUGAUUUUGGAAGCUAAGCAGGAUCGGGCCUGGUUAGUACUUGGAUGGGAGACCACCUGGGAGUAUCAGGUGCUGUAGGUU
ensembl:rRNA n-R5s173 nuclear encoded rRNA 5S 173